rnacentral:rRNA from 1 species
UGGGGAGUACGGCCGCAAGGUUAAAACUCAAAUGAAUUGACGGGGGCCCGCACAAGCGGUGGAGCAUGUGGUUUAAUUCGAUGCAACGCGAAGAACCUUACCUGGUCUUGACAUCCAUAGAAUUCUGCAGAGAUGUGGGAGUGCCUUCGGGAACUAUGAGACAGGUGCUGCAUGGCUGUCGUCAGCUCGUGUUGUGAAAUGUUGGGUUAAGUCCCGCAACGAGCGCAACCCUUAUUCUUUGUUGCCAGCGAUUUGGUCGGGAACUCAAAGGAGACUGCCGUUGAUAAAGCGGAGGAAGGUGGGGACGACGUCAAGUCAUCAUGGCCCUUACGACCAGGGCUACACACGUGCUACAAUGGCGUAUACAAAGGGAAGCGAAGGUGCGAGCUGGAGCGGAUCUCAUAAAGUACGUCUAAGUUCGGAUUGGAGUCUGCAACUCGACUCCAUGAAGUCGGAAUCGCUAGUAAUCGUAGAUCAGAAUGCUACGGUGAAUACGUUCCCGGGCCUUGCACACACCGCCCGUCACACCAUGGGAGUGGGUUGCACCAGAAGUAGAUAGCUUAACCGCGAGGGGGGCGUUUACCACGGUGUGAUUCAUGACUGGGGUGAAGUCGUAACAAGGUAACCA